GACGAACGCUGGCGGCGUGCUUAACACAUGCAAGUCGAACGGAAAGGCCCUGCUUUUGUGGGGUGCUCGAGUGGCGAACGGGUGAGUAACACGUGAGUAACCUGCCCUUGACUUUGGGAUAACUUCAGGAAACUGGGGCUAAUACCGGAUAGGAGCUCCUGCUGCAUGGUGGGGGUUGGAAAGUUUCGGCGGUUGGGGAUGGACUCGCGGCUUAUCAGCUUGUUGGUGGGGUAGUGGCUUACCAAGGCUUUGACGGGUAGCCGGCCUGAGAGGGUGACCGGCCACAUUGGGACUGAGAUACGGCCCAGACUCCUACGGGGGGCAGCAGUGGGGAAUAUUGCACAAUGGGCGGAAGCCUGAUGCAGCAACGCCGCGGGCGGGAUGACGGCCUUCGGGUUGUAAACCGCUUUCGCCUGUGACGAAGCGUGAGUGACGGUAAUGGGUAAAGAAGCACCGGCUAACUACGUG
rnacentral:rRNA from 1 species